GAUGAACGCUGGCGGCGUGCCUAAUACAUGCAAGUCGAGCGAACAGACGAGGAGCUUGCUCCUCUGACGUUAGCGGCGGACGGGUUAGUAACACGUGGAUAACCUACCUAUAAGACUGUGAUAACUUCGGGAAACCGGAGCUAAUACCGGAUAAUAUAUUUAACCGCAUGGUUCAAUAGUUAAAGACGGUUUUGCUGUCACUUAUAGAUGGAUCCGCGCCGCAUUAGCUAGUUGGUAAGGUAACGGCUUACCAAGGCGACGAUGCGUAGCCGACCUGAGAGGGUGAUCGGCCACACUGGAACUGAGACACGGUCCAGACUCCUACGGGAGGCAGCAGUAGGGAAUCUUCCGCAAUGGGCGAAAGCCUGACGGAGCAACGCCGCGUGAGUGAUGAGGGUCUUCGGAUCGUAAAACGCUGUUAUUAGGGAAGAAAAAAUGUGUAAGUAACUAUGCACGUAUUGACGGUACCGAAUCAGAAAGCCACGGCUAACUACGUG
rnacentral:rRNA from 1 species